AUCCUGACUUAAAACAGAAGCAGCCUUCAUGUCUGUGAUAACUUUCUUUUUUCUUCCUACAGCUGUGGGCUCGAUGAAAUGAAACAAACUUCCCCUUCAAACAACUACUCCACACCAGUACAUUGGACAUUUUGGAUUCUCUGGCUGAUCUCUUUUGGAAAAAUUGCUGAUGAACAGCCCAGUAGAAAUGUCUUCGAAUGACUUCUGAGUCUGAACAAGAGGACAGCUUAGUGUGGAACAACUUCUGAUGAAGAGUAUGAGUACAAUUCUCAUACAGAAGCUGUACCAUUCCCUUUCUAGAAACCUAGCACACAAAGGCCACUGCUCAACCUCCGCCAGCAUUCCCUGCACCUUGUGCUCAACCCAGCCCACUCCUCCCUCAUGCCCGUCCUGCUGCAGCAAUUUGAGGAAACCAGUUCACGAGGGCAGCUCUCCUCCCCCUCUAACACAGAAGUAGGCUGUGAGCCCUCGCGUUAGUUUCCAAAUCUGACCAGGUUUACAAGUCCACAGACAGUUGCUAAAACAAUGGCAGGAGCAGAGUGCAACAGAAGAAAUGAGGAAAUAUUCAUCCGAUCCAGACCUUGUGGGUAAAACUUCUUCACCAUAAAGCAAUAAUUGUAAGGAGUAAGUAGGAGUGAUCACUUAAAACUCUAUUCAUCAGGUUUCUUAGCUCCAUGGGAGCUUGUGACAGACUUUAGGCUUAAAGGCAGCAGCCUCAAAUUGCACCAGAGGAGGCUCAGGUGGCAUAUUAGGAAAAAUAUCUUCUUCAAAAGAGUGGCAGGGAACUGGAAUGGAGUGCCCAGGGAGGUGGUGGAAUCAGUAUCCCUGGAGUGUUCAAGAACUGUAUGAACAUAACAUGUUACAUAACGUGGUUUGGGGGCAUGGUAGGGAUGGAUCAGCAGUUGGACUACAUGAUCUUAGAGGUCUUCUCCAGCCUGAAUGAUCCUAUGACUUUAUAGACCUGGCACCAACUGUAUUUAAUGCUGUUCAUGAACUGUAAGCUUGCCAGUACUAAUGAAACAAGACUCGCUUUUCAUUAGACUUUAGCUUGAAAAUGUAUCGCCUAUAUGAAAGUAGAUGUCUUUAACAGCCACUUAGCAUCCAGAAGAUAUUUUGUGUCACAUAUUUAGCAUUUGAAAAGCUGUUAAUUCAGUAAUAAAUUUAUUUGUUGCUAUUCUGUAUUUCAACUGAGAUUGCUACUUCUGAUUUACUUUUGUUUUCCACCGAACCUGGCAUCACAAAUGCUUUCCCAAGAAAGCUACCCACCUCCCACAGCUGAACCACCUGCAGUACUGAUUGCUGUCUGUUGCUCCCAAGUUCUCAGCUGCAUGUUCCUUGUCCCCAGACCUCUCUAGUCCUACUCCCCUGCUUCCUUCACACUGCUGCCUGACUUCUGAUCCAUUAUACAUUCUGUUUUCUGAUGUGUUCAGCAAGUAUUUUCUUUACUGUAUGUGUGCUCUCACAAGAAUAAAUCCCUCUCUUAACAUGUUCUCACAGAAGGGGUCUUGGUUUAUGGCCACGUGUAAAAAUUUCUUCUGGAUAAGAAGAGUUUUAUACCCAAGAUCAGUGCGGAGCAACAAAUGCCACUGUUCAGACUUACAAAGUCUCUAUUUCUAUCACGUUAAUCUCUAGUUGGCUGCUAUGUAGAGUUUUAUGUUGCAAACUGAAAGGAAACUAUUUGUAGAGAACCUCCCCCAGAAACUCAGCCACAAAGAUCUGUGUUUAUUUUCAGAUAAAUGCUACUUGGAAAAUGGAGUUAACAGUAGGCAGCCAUGACUUGUGAUAAAACCAUUACAGGGCUGAAUUGUAAUCAUCCACAGAAUUAAGCUUUACAAACCCUUGGAAAAUCAGGAUGUAUGUCACACUUCAGAUGAAUCUACAUAUAUGAGGAUACUUGGGAUACUGUUUGUAGGAUGGGGUUUUCCUUCCAUAUUCAAGAGCCUAAUACUGACCUGGAAUAACACCAGCUAAUAGAUGUUAGAUUCUGAUUAGGCAAAUUUGGCUGUCGAGGCCAAGCUCAGAGACCGGAAGCUGCUCUUUGGAACUACAUUGAAGCUUAGAGCUUUUUCGUAGCUUUCAAGUAUUUGCUCUUACAAGUCUAAUAGUUGUCAUAGCAGACCAUAAGGAAGUGAAAAUUUCCAUAACUGUCAAAUUUUAUGGGCUCUUAAAUUUGGGAUUAUACUCCUAGGCAAAGUCUGUCUUUAAACCAUACUUCAUUUUUUUAUGCUUUCUCGCCCUCACAGCAGGAGGUCUAUUCCUGUAGCCAUUCAGAGUAAAAUAAAAGAUGGGAAACCAUGUGCAUAACCCAAUGUUUAAUUACAUUCAAAUUAAUUUUAUCAUGUUGAAAUGCAGGGUUUCUUUAGAAAAUGGCAGCUGAGCCCAUCACAGGUUUUGAAGAAAAACACUGCGUUUUUCAUAUACUGAAAAGGGACUUUUCUGCAACUCCACGUUCAGUGCAGCACAUUAAAUGGUUUUGCACUUUUUCAAAGAGGAUGACUUCUCCAUUGAAGAUGGCAGAAUUCAAAAUUCUGAAGAAUUAAUAUCAAGAUUUGGGGCACUUCUGAUACAGGGGCAGCAACUGGUAGAAGGGUAAGGUAUUGCACAGAGACUAUCUUAGCUACUAGCACUAAUAGUCUUUCCAUUUAUCUUAACCGUUAAUUAGCAUGAUUCAUUGUUUCUUUUCCUGAAGUACCCACUGCAAAUUAACUCCUUCAGCGUUGCAUUGAGCUUGUAGAAACGAGCAUAAAACUUAAAUUCAGACUUAUUAAAACUUAUUCAACCACGUAACACUAUGUU